rnacentral:lncRNA from 10 species
UAAUUUCCAUAAAUCACACUUUCAAUUUUCAAAUGCCUUUUUAAAACACAUGCAAAAAGCACUUCAUAGGGCUCUUAAAAAAUGUGAACCUGCCAAAUUAUAUGCAAAUGGCACAAAGAAUCCUACAAGUCCUGAAAGAAAAAGGAGACACACACAUACCCCCAUGGAGAACAGCAAUCCUCAUCUCCCUGCUAGGAUACAGACACUAGCCAGAAAGACUAUCUAAAUGGAUCAUCUCUAACUGCUGUGAUCAUCCUAGACUUCUACAGUUGGAAGUUGGUGGACAAAAGCAAUAACAUCCCAGCCCUACCAGUACUGUGUGAGGGCCAAGAAGCCAGCGUGGAGAGAUGCCUGGCAGAAGUAGACUUCCAAGUCCAGAUUUCCCGAUAAUGUCUUGGUGAAACGACUGACAAUUCUGCUAUUCAGAUCUACCUAAAUACUACCUCGUUCCUUGUCUCAUGUUCUCCUACCACAAAUGCAAUGCGAAGAGGAAGAGAGGGGUGCUUCAAAAAUCACAAAUUUUAUACAGCAUUAUCUCCCCGAGACUAUAUCUUCAUUGCGAGGACUGACUCCCUGCGCUCAGCAGCCCCCCACUGGCCGUCCUGACAAGCGCAGUGCAGACUUCUCCCUGUGGUGCCACCCCUUGGUCUUUCGCGGCUGAGGCAGUCCUUCUCCAAAGCAUCACUCCCCGUCCAAGGCCUUCCGUCACUCCUCUGGCGCAGGUAAGUUGUACCUAACCACGUUGUAUUUUAAUUCUCUGUCCAGUUCCCAAGUUUCCCAUCAGCUGUAAGCUUAAGUCAGGAGUCUUGUUCAUUCUUGUAUUUCUGUCAUAUAUUAGCUGAACUUGUGAGUGAAUGUUGAUUCGUCUUAGAAAGGCACCUGGGCUCUGGGUAUAUUUUGUGGGCCUUCUUCCAGGAAUACACUCCUCUUCUGACAUAACGACCAACGACAAACUGUUUUCCAAGACUGGACGUCUGCAUUUCCCAGCCUUGGAGAAUCUUUCCCCAGUCUUAGUCUCUCCAACACAGUAGGCAACACCGUCCUGUCAGUAAUCCCUGACUAACACCACCCCAUUCCACCCCUAGGGGGAAAAAAAAGACGCACAUAUGUACGCACAUCAAAAAGUUACAGCAACAAUAACCAAAAAAUUCCUUGCUUUCAUUUUCAACACUGGCUAGUAAUUUUUGCCUUUGGGGGUUGGAAUCGCUCAAUAUGCAUAUUUCUUUCCAACGUGGGAGAAAAGAAUGCACACAAGAAUGCAGCAAAGUGGAGAGGAUGCGUAGAAAUAAUGAAAGAAGUGUACCUAGAGGUGAUUAUAUAUGGAAAGACAACAAGUGAUCUCAGAGUGGCAGGUAGUGACAAGGAUGCAAAAAAAAAAAUCAGACACAGUCCUACUUGUCCAGGAGCCAAGGUGGUUAUAAUUUGGAAAUUACAUAGGUGUGUUUUCUAGAUAUUACACAACAUAUAAGGCAAUAAAUUGCUCUUAGCAAUACAGAGAAAAAUGUAAACUUUCA